rnacentral:lncRNA from 1 species
AAGAUGAUAUGAAGAAAGCAAAUCUACGGACAUCUCUGCGAGCUGUGAGAUUUAUGUGGACCUUCUCCCAUCAUAGACCAAAACAACUGGCAUUUCAUCAAAAAUCUUCUUGGCUUGAAAACCAGCUUAGAGUCUCCUUUUGCCAUAAUUUGUAGCU